rnacentral:tRNA from 1 species
GCGGACGUGGCAGAGUGGUAAUGCGUCGGCCUUGAGAGCCGAUUCGCCUUCGGGCGAUCAGGAGUUCAAAUCUCCUCGUCCGCG